rnacentral:rRNA from 1 species
AUUCCAGCUCCAAUAGCGUAUAUUAAAGUUGUUGCAGUUGAAACGCUCGUAGUUGGAUGUUUUGUGCCCGCUGUGUGCCCGUUUACGGGGCGGUCGACCAGGUGUCAAAGCCUGUGCCGGUUGCUCCUGGGUGCUCUUUGGCGUGGCGCAGCUUUCUCCCGAUUGUGCCGUGCGUGCCAUUUGUUUGGGGCGUACGGGACGCGGGGCGAUUACUUUGAAAAAAUUAGAGUGUUCAAAGCAGGCAGUUUUUGCUUGAAUAGAUUAGCAUGGAAUAAUGGAAUAGGACUUUGGUUUCUAUUUUGUUGGUUUUGGGGCCGAAGUAAUGAUUAAUAGGGAUAGUUGGGGGCAUUAGUAUUGCACUGUCAGAGGUGAAAUUCUUGGAUUUGUGCAAGACUAACGUGUGCGAAAGCGUUUGCCAAGGAUGUUUUCAUUAAUCAAGAACGAAAGUUAGGGGAUCGAAGACGAUUAGAUACCGUCGUAGUCUUAACCAUAAACUAUGCCGACUAGGGAUCGGUCGCAUGUUGGAUUUUUAUCAACGUGAUCGGCACCUUGAGGGAAACCAAAGUGUUUGGGUUCCGGGGGGAGUAUGGUCGCAAGGCUGAAACUUAAAGGAAUUGACGGAAGGGCACCACCAGGAGUGGAGCCUGCGGCUUAAUUUGACUCAACACGGGAAAACUCACCAGGUCCAGACAUAGGAAGGAUUGACAGGUUGAGAGCUCUUUCUUGAUUCUAUGGGUGGUGGUGCAUGGCCGUUCUCAGUUGGUGGAGUGAUUUGUCUGGUUAAUUCCGUUAACGAACGAGACCUUAACCUACUAAUUAGUGUGCGUAAGCCCUUGUCUCCCUUCGGGGGGUUUGUGGCUUGCGUUGUCCCAGCUUUGGGGCACGGCGUCUGUUAUGGGCGCUGGACACUUCUUAGAGGGACCCCCGGCGGUUAGCCGGUGGAAGUAUGAGGCAAUAACAGGUCUGUGAUGCCCUUAGAUGUUCUGGGCCGCACCCGCGCUACACUGGCGGGAGCAACGGGUAUUCUUAUGGGGAUCUUUCCUUCUUUUUGCCGGGUGUGUGCGCAAGCAUGUGCCUGGUGGGGAGUGGGUUCGCCUCUUGACCUGCCCUGGAAAGGGUGGGGAAUCCUGUGAAACCCCGUCGUGCUGGGGAUAGAUCUUUGCAAUCUUCGAUCUUGAACGAGGAAUUCCUAGUAAGCGCAAGUCAUCAGCUUGCGUUGAUUACGUCCCUGCCCUUUGUACACACCGCCCGUCGCUACUACCGAUUGAAUGGUUUAGUGAGGCCUCGGGAGGGCUGGUGCCUGGCGCGCGCGCAAGCGUGUGUCUUGCCGGCCCGAACUUGGUCAAACUUGAUCAUUUAGAGGAAGUA